GGACAACGGGACCUUACAGUAAAAUUGGAAUGAUACAAAGAAGAUUAACAAGUCCCCUGCGAAAGGAUGACAUGCACAAAUCGAGAAAUGGUCCAAAUUUUU